rnacentral:piRNA from 1 species
GGGUCAUUGCGGUAGAGCUAGCUCUUGC